rnacentral:rRNA from 1 species
UGCCCACUGAAUAAAAUAAUUUAAAGGGCUGCAGUAUUUUGACUGUACAAAGGUAGCAUAAUCAUUAGUCAUUUAAUUGAUGACUUGUAUGAAAGAUUGGAUGAAAUAUUAACUGUUUCUUUAAUAUAUUAUAUAAUUUAAUUUUUUAAUUAAAAAGUUAAAAUGAAUUAAAAAGACGAGAAGACCCUAUAGAGUUUUAUUAUUAAUUAAUUAAAAUUAUUUAUAUAUUCAAUAAUUUUAAUUGAAAAAAUAAUUUUGUUGGGGUGAUAGAAAAAUUAAUUAAACUUUUUUUAAUAAUAAAAACAAAAAUAAAUGGUUAAAUGAUCCAAUUAAUAUUGAUUAUAAGAAAUAAUUACCUUAGGGAUAACAGCGUAAUUUUUUUUUUUAGUUCAAAUAAAAAAAAAAGUUUGCGACCUCGAUGUUGGAUUAAGAUAAAAUUUAAAUGCAGAAGUUUAAAAUUUUGA